ACUCCUACGGGAGGCAGCAGUGGGGAAUAUUGCACAAUGGGCGCAAGCCUGAUGCAGCGACGCCGCGUGGGGGAUGACGGCCUUCGGGUUGUAAACCUCUUUCAGUACAGACGAAGCGCAAGUGACGGUAUGUACAGAAGAAGCACCGGCCAACUACGUGCCAGCAGCCGCGGUAAUACGUAGGGUGCGAGCGUUGUCCGGAAUUACUGGGCGUAAAGAGCUCGUAGGUGGUUUGUCGCGUUGUUCGUGAAAACCUGAGGCUUAACCUUGGGCGUGCGGGCGAUACGGGCAGACUGGAGUACUGCAGGGGAGACUGGAAUUCCUGGUGUAGCGGUGGAAUGCGCAGAUAUCAGGAGGAACACCGGUGGCGAAGGCGGGUCUCUGGGCAGUAACUGACGCUGAGGAGCGAAAGCGUGGGGAGCGAACAGGAUUAGAUACCCUGGUAGCGAGUAG
rnacentral:rRNA from 1 species